rnacentral:rRNA from 1 species
GGAAUAUUGGACAAUGGGCGAAAGCCUGAUCCAGCCAUGCCGCGUGUGUGAAGAAGGUCUUCGGAUUGUAAAGCACUUUAAGUUGGGAGGAAGGGCAGUAAGUUAAUACCUUGCUGUUUUGACGUUACCAACAGAAUAAGCACC